rnacentral:rRNA from 1 species
GUGAGCAUGUGCUUAAUUUGACUCAACGCGGGAAAUCUUACCGGGUCCGGACACACUGAGGAUUGACAGGCAAUACGUAAAAUAAUUUUUAUUAUUUUAUGUUAAAUUAUGCUAGUCCUUUCAUGAUUAUGUGAUAGGUGGUGCAUGGCCGUUCUUAGUUCGUGGAGUGAUCUGUCUGCUUAAUUGCGUUUCACUAAGGGCUUAUAAAUUACGUGUGUUACAACGCUUUGACCCCUACUUCUGUAGUGUGUGUUUCAGUUGUUUUUGUUCGCACAAUUAAGUCCUGAAAGCAACGAACGUGACCGCAACCUCUUGUUGCCUCUUGCACAACCCUUGUCUUUUGUUUUCUAACAAUUUUCUUGGAAAAAGAGGCUUUUAAACUAGAGGGACCGCUGUAAUUCUUUUAAACCAGAGGAAGGUUGCGGCAAUAACAGGUCUGUGAUGCCCUUAGAUGUUCCGGGCUGCACACGUGCUACAAUGAUUAUUGCAGUGAGCAUCUCAUUUUAUACACCGUUUGUAUUGCUAAGUUCAGUGCUUCACUUUAUUGUGUUUGUUACUGUUUCCUUGCAUCACGGUAAAGCCUGCUUCGAAAGUAAGUGGGUAAUCAAUUAGAAGUAAUGAUUUCCUUUUUCAGCACACAUAUAUGCGGCGUUGGUAACCGGGCAAUCUUGUAUUGUUUCUUGUGUUUACUCAAUGUUUUUUUCGCAUGUGCAAUUGUCAAUUCAUGGUGGGGACAGACCAUUGUUAAUUGUUGGUCUCGUCUUAACUAGGAAUGCCUUGUACGGGUCUUUGGUUCAACAGACCACCCGGAAUACGUCCCUGCCCUUUGUACACACCGCCCGUCGCUCUUACCGAUGGACUUCUCUGUGAGUUUGAGGGACUGGAACUUUAUA